GACGAACGCUGGCGGCGUGCUUAACACAUGCAAGUCGAGCGAUGAAGUUCCUUCGGGAACGGAUUAGCGGCGGACGGGUGAGUAACACGUGGGUAACCUGCCUCAUAGAGGGGAAUAGCCUUCCGAAAGGAAGAUUAAUACCGCAUAAGAUUGUAGUGCCGCAUGGUACAGCAAUUAAAGGAGCAAUCCGCUAUGAGAUGGACCCGCGUCGCAUUAGCUAGUUGGUGCGGUAAAGACUCACCAAGGCGACGAUGCGUAGCCGACCUGAGAGGGUGAUCGGCCACAUUGGGACUGAGACACGGCCCAGACUCCUACGGGAGGCAGCAGUGGGGAAUAUUGCACAAUGGGGGAAACCCUGAUGCAGCAACGCCGCGUGAGUGAUGACGGUCUUCGGAUUGUAAAACUCUGUCUUCAGGGACGAUAAUGACGGUACCUGAGGAGGAAGCCACGGCUAACUACGUGCCAGCCGCCGCAGUAACAC
rnacentral:rRNA from 1 species